GUCUUCAUCGUCAACACUUAGAAGCCUAUCAAGUAACCAUGACAUAUCACCAUCUCCCAAUCCCUACACUUUAGUCAAAAAGGGAAAGAAAGGGGUUAGCACAAUUAAGUACUAAGUAUGGAGACCAUGCAAAAACAUGCUUCAACAGACAUUUACAAGAAAUAUAUGCUUUCAUAUCAUUUUGAUAAAACCUUCACUUCACAAGUAUAAGAGACAUAAUACAAGUUAACAUUCACAUAUAAGGCCAUAGCCAACCAUACAUAUACUCAACAUAUAUCCAUAUACAACCCAUGCUUAACUUUAAAAGAACACAUGUCAUUUCAUUACCGUAGGACCUCUACCUAAUAUAACCUUAAGACACACUUGAGUGAGACAAGAAGUGACCGCCCAUACAACCUCUUCAAGCACACUUAAGUGCUUUUGAUUUUAUUAUGUUUGAGACUAUGGGCUUGUAUUAAUUUUUUUUUCUUUCUCAACGUAUGAAUUGGGUCAUUCUGAGUCCUCGUGGACUCCUUUUCCUUGCAUUUCGAAAUGGGCCACGGAGGCCCAAGUUCAUUCUCCUUCUCGAGUCAACCCUCAAUCACCAACAUUGGAGCAAACGAACAGGGUCAAUUGGAAGCGAAAGAGGAUGUAUACAUGUUUUAUACAUUAUGAUACAACAGAAAGAGGGUCCAAAAAAAGUGCCCUAAAUUUUCAGCUUUGUAUUUUGUUACUUUGGGCCUAAGCCCUUGUCACUUUCAUUAUUAUUUUGCUAGAAUUUAGGACAGGUGGAGGAAUAUUGGGCCUAAGGCCCAAAACAAAAUAUCUUAUAUAUAUUAGACUAGGACAGGUGCAGCUGAUUUAAAUGGGCCAAAGGCCCAAAACGAGAUUAGGUCCAAGUACUGGCCCAGGCGAACAGAUCCAGACUUGGGCCCAAAUUCUCUUUCCCUAUCUAUUUAACUGCUAUUAUGUGCUUAUUUGUUAAAAAAUAAUAUUAAGGUCUCGAAACUUCAAAUCUCCAAAAGACAUCCAUUUUGAAUUAAUCGCUUAACUAAAUUAUUUCUCUUUCACUCUGCUUAAAAAAUAAAUAAAUAAUAAAUAAAUAAGUUUAUGAAAUACUUCACUUAGAUAAUAUUUCAUUAUUUUUUUAUUAAAAUGGUCUCAACUAUAAAGUAGUUCACUUUUACAAUUCAAGAUGAGUGAAAAUAUUUUAGCCAAAUAAUUAAUUAUCGGAUAACCGCAUAUUAGCGGGCAUUUCGGGUGCUUUCAAACCCUUCCCAAAAUGCUAAUAAGAACCCCGAACCCCUUUUAAGUUUUCAUUAGAUUUUCUGUUUCAGUCUUUUGAAAACAACAGUUUUAGUGGCGACUCUUAAAUCAGUCCAAAUAAUAUUUUUAAAUAAAACACUGCUUCAACUACAGAACGGUGGGGGAAUUUAAAAUUUCAGUGGACAAAAAUGGUAGGCGAGAUAGCACAUACUUACACAUAUCUUCAAAGCUGAAAUACAGGGUUCCUAAGUACUACCAAGCUCCUCAGAAGCCAAAUCCAAAAUGGGCAGUACACCUACAGGAAGAGACGAAUCAACAGAGAAAUGAAAAGAAGGUAAUAAUAAAAAAUGGUAAAGGACAAACCUUUGUCAACUGAUAUUGGCAACAAAGUAGAAGACCAAUGAUGGAGAAUUAAUUACCCAUAGGAGAAGGAAGCAAAGUUAAUUGUUGGUGGGCACAAGGCGGAACAUUUUCAGUAGAGGGAGCUGAAGAUUC
rnacentral:lncRNA from 1 species